GUUAGGAUAGUCUAGUCGGUUACGACGACUGUCCAACACGCAGUAGAUCCCGAGUUCGAAUCACGGUUCCAGUG
rfam:Perkinsus marinus ATCC 50983 gcontig_1104296271946, whole genome shotgun sequence.